CGACACCGCAGGAGGACGAGGACAGUGUAACAAGCGGAGUGCAGCGGCUCACAUCAGGGAGCUUCCACUGUGACAGCAUUAUUGUCUCUGAUGUGGACUGCACCCCAGAGCCAAGCACAGACCGGGACAGGACUGGGGUCGAGGCAAAGCAGAGGAGGGAGGGCUGCUGGGGUCCGAGGAAGAAGAGGCAGGACGGAGAGGACGAGGUGCAAGCCAAGGAACACAUCUUCUAGGACCUGCGUCGAGCUUCACGCUCCAACAACAGCAUAUGAACAGGCCAGAAUCUGAGGACUGUGGACAACAUGCAGACGACAGUGUUUCCAUGCACCACACAAGGCUGACCUUCCAGACCCAGGACAGAGUAACAGACAGUUCAGUCAGGCAGCAUCCAGACAGUUUGUAGUGUGGCAGUGUGGAGCACUUGGUCACAGAAUGGUGAUACUAAGUAAAUAAAAUGCAAUCAAUAACAAUAAAUCAGCACCAUCUAUCUGUA